rnacentral:lncRNA from 1 species
GUAAGGAGGACACUCCACAAUAAUGAUAAAAAGCCUAUUAUAGUAAAUGCAUAAACCAGUUACAGUCAUGUAUUAUCAUUAUCGAGGAUUAGGCACUGUGUACAAGUGCAUAUGCUAGGCUUUUAUUCGAUGUUAGAAUGGUUACCAUAUCACCAAGAGACAGGAGUUUUUGAGCUUCAUUUUAAUCUCAUGGGACCGCCAUUUUGUAUACGUG